GCUGGACUUCGGAUGCACUUGCUUUUAUUGGCAUAUUCAUUGAAAAGAGAUUACAAUUUAUCUUUCACCUGCAUAGAUUCAUAAACCCCGCUAUCACCAUAAAUCUUUUUAUAACACCAUUCAAUAAAAUUGAGCUUGUAACGGGGAUCCAAAAUAGCUGCUAUAGCUAAUAUCUAUUGAAAAAUAUAUUCUCAAGUCAAUCAUGUGAUGAUUGUGCUAAUUAUAAAUGUACAUAAAUUGAUAAAUAAUAAAAAUUAUUUGAUAUUUUUAUCACAAUAAUACAUCUUCUAAUGAACUCCUAUAUUGUGAUGAAGU
rnacentral:lncRNA from 1 species